GUGUGGGCGGAGGCGGCGGCCGCCAUGUUGGGGCUUGGCGCUGACCCGGGGUCUCUCGUCGCUCUUCUGUCGCCGUCCUCGAGGCGUGCUGACCCCGGGCCGCCAGUGCGAGCCGGGAUGGGGCUAGACAGGCUCGGAAUCAUGGGGUGGUUUGGGCUGGAAGAGACUUCAAACCCAUCCAGUCCCACCCCCUGCCCUGGACAGGGACACCUCCCACUGGCUCAGGGGCUCCAAGCCCCAUCCAACCUGGCCUGGAACCCCUCCAGGGAUGGGGCAGCCACCACUGCUCUGGGCACCCUGGGCCAGGGCCUCCCCACCCUCACAGCAAAACAUUUCUUUCUAAGAUCUCAUUUCAAUCUCCCCUCUUUCAGCUCAAAACCGCUCCCCCUCAUCCUAUCCCUGCUCUCCCUCAUCCAGAGCCCCUCCCCAGCUUCUCUGCAAGAAGGACAUUAAGGGGCUGGAGCCCGAGGGUUUUGGAAUCAGCUGAGGGCCCUGGGCCUGCUUAGCCUGCAGAAGAGGAAGCUGAGGGGAGACCUCAUCGCUCUGCAGCUCCCAGAAAGCAGGUUGGUACUUUUAAGCCAUGGAUGCCCUCAUCUCCCAGCUCAAGGCUCUGGCUCAGCUCUUCUGUGGGAUGCAGGAGUCCUGCGGCCGCUCAGCUGUUCCCCUGCCACAUUUCUACUGUGCUGCCUCCAUCCCCAGUGCCAGUCGGACACAGCCAUUGCCAGUCACGGCCCUUUCUCCCCAGGAAGGACGAGUCACACAGCUGAUGCCCAGCACUCUCUUAUCCCUGAGUGCUGUUCCUGCAGCCAUCAAACGUCUUUAGGCCAACCAAGAGCUGCAUGCAGCAGGAGAGGACCCGACGGGAAUACUGUGGUUGCACUGAACAAGUCUGGCUGUCUGUAAUCGUGGGAGGAGAACCUAGCGCAGCCAGCGGUGCUGGGAGCAGAGGACAUUGCUGUGGAGAGACCGUUCCUUCCUUCUGCCAGCCCUUCCUGCCCAGUUCCCAUGUGUGCCGGUGCCUGGCAGGUUUCCUUUGGAAAAUGGCAAUUUCAUCUCCUCACCCUGAAAAACAGAAAAUCCCCAGCCUCAGUGUCCAGGAUUGGGCUCCCUAGCCCCUCUGCCCUGCCCACCUCAUGCUCAACAGGGUCUCUUCCCAUCCCACGGCCCCUCAGCCCCGUACCCGAUGUCCCAGGGAUGGUGAGCAGCGGGCGACGCAGUGGGGACGCGGUGGCUGUGGCGCUGGUGGCUUCUUUCACCUUCCCCACCACGAAGAGGCAGCAGAGCCCCACGUUUCUGGCUGUCCCCACACCAUCCCUUCCUCUUCCUGCUCUCCUAGCAGGAGAUGAAAUGAUCAAACAGUUUUAGGCUCAUUAUUGACUUCAAAUCUGUACAAUUGGCUUUUGGUUUUUUAAAGGUCUGUCACUGGGAGGGACAGGCGGACGAGCCGACGUAUCAUCCUCAAACUAAUAAGCGCUGUUUCAGAUCCCAAGCUGACUUUGCUUCCCAAACCCUGCUCAUCGUACCGCAUGCGUGGCCGGACCCACUGAUGUGAAAGCAGCUGCUUCCGUUUGAAAAGGAUGUCAGCUUUAAAGAUGAACACGUUAAAGAUGUUUUCUUCUGAGAGCAAAGAAACAUCAAGUGCUCCCUGCUCCUUUGGCACUGGGACCCUGGGUUACAAUGGUCUCUAAAGCCACCAGCCCUACACGAGCUUCUCCCGCCACAGCAAGCGGACCCAGGGGCAUCUCAGCACUCCAAGAGGAACAGGAGGUGGAGAAGAGGUGAAUUUGCCCUCAUUAAAUCCUUGGAGCUGAAGGAACCAGUGGAGGUGCUGUGUGCCACACCAAGAAGCAGCCACGCAGUCUCCCCUCCCUGUCACUUGUGCCAGGCUGCAAGGGAAGCUGCCAGCAGCAAAGCUGAUGCUGAGAACUAAAAUCCAGUGAUGCUUCGGUCUGGGCCCCCAAGGAAUGGGUAGGAACGCCACUGUGACAGCCCCAGCUCUCUCUGCUCAUGGUAUAUCUGCAUUUUUCCUGAAGAGUCCUUGGCUCAUUUGCUUUUCCCUUCCUGCUGAGCAGGGCUGGUGGCUCUGUAGGGCUCCUCCUCACCUGCCUCCCGACGGACCUGGAGCCAACAGGGUGCCCAAAGAGAGCACCCGAUAGCAUCAGAGCCAUCACCCAUGACCUGGCCAGGCUCAGCUCUGCAUUGAGCAUCACCAAAUUCACCACAGGGCUCAGAGCACAGCCUUGAGCCCCAAAGCCGAGCCUAAACACAUGUGCCCUUGCCAGGGUCUGAAUUUAUUUACUGGACUGAGGUACAUAACGCUGCAUAGCCCUGCGGCUUGGUGGCUUUGGCUCAUUUCUGGUGCUCUUUGCCAGCACAGCUCUUGCGUCUCAGUCUGUAGAGCUUGUUUUUGCUCAUGGAAUUACGUGAUUUGUGGAUAAAAGUGUGAGUUGUCAGCAACCAGAUCGCCUCAGGGCAUUCAUGAGUGGGAGCAGUGGAGCCUCUUGGGGAUAGCAAGCCCUUCAUCACCCACGCUGCCAGCCCAGCACUCGCUACUCCUGAAACUCGGAUGCGGAGCCUUUCUCUGCAGCUCCCGAGCUGGAAGCAGCCCCCAAACAGCUCUGCCUCCCCGUCUUUCCGUCUCUAUUGAAAUCGCAGCUCUAGACAUCUGAUUUCCAUUUUCCCCCCGUACUUUCCGUUCAGUCAAAGUGUGUGAUUAGGGCUCUGCGGGCUCCAUUGUCAUCUCUACCUAAGUGCUUCUCUGAUUGAUAUAAACAGCAUUGUGAUAUUUACACUGCAGAACGUAUCGCUCUGCCUGCUUCCCUGGAUAAUGCACAAAAUCUGCCAUUACAGGGAGGAAAAACAAUACUAAAAGAAGAAGACCCUGCAGAAAGCUGCUUGGAGGGCAGGUGCAGAGCCCUUGCUGAUGGGACAGGACUGUGC